rnacentral:rRNA from 1 species
UACGUAGGGUGCAAGCAUUAAUCGGAUUCAUUGGGCGUAAAGGGUGCGUAGGCGGCGCGGUAAGUCGGGUGUGAAAUCUCGGGGCUUAACUCCGAAACUGCAUUCGAUACUGCCGUGCUUGAGGACUGGAGAGGAGACUGGAAUUUACGGUGUAGCGGUGAAAUGCGUAGAUAUCGUAAGGAAGACCAGUGGCGAAGGCGGGUCUCUGGACAGUUCCUGACGCUGAGGCACGAAGGCCAGGGGAGCAAACGGG